rnacentral:rRNA from 1 species
UCUCCUGGAAACGGGUGGUAAUGCCGGAUGCUCCAGUUGAUCGCAUGGUCUUCUGGGAAAGCUUUCGCGGUAUGGGAUGGGGUCGCGUCCUAUCAGCUUGACGGCGGGGUAACGGCCCACCGUGGCUUCGACGGGUAGCCGGCCUGAGAGGGCGACCGGCCACAUUGGGACUGAGAUACGGCCCAGACUCCUACGGGAGGCAGCAGUGGGGAAUAUUGCACAAUGGGCGCAAGCCUGAUGCAGCGACGCCGCGUGAGGGAUGGAGGCCUUCGGGUUGUAAACCUCUUUUAUCGGGGAGCAAGCGUGAGUGAGUUUACCCGUUGAAUAAGCACCGGCUAACUACGUGCCAGCAGCCGCGGUAAUACGUAGGGUGCAAGCGUUAUCCGGAAUUAUUGGGCGUAAAGGGCUCGUAGGCGGUUCGUCGCGUCCGGUGUGAAAGUCCAUCGCUUAACGGUGGAUCCGCGCCGGGUACGGGCGGGCUUGAGUGCGGUAGGGGAGACUGGAAUUCCCGGUGUAACGGUGGAAUGUGUAGAUAUCGGGAAAGAACACC